UCCGCUCCAGAUCCCCAGACCCCAGUGUUGCUGCCGCCCUCCUGAACACGGCCAGCAAAGGGGGAUCGAGCCAAUCGAGUUCUUGUGCUCGAGCCUCGAGGCAAUCCGAUCAUUGGAGGGCUCAUUUCUGAUCUCCCUCCUCCUCCUCCUCCUCCUCCUCGCCGCCCUCCCCAUCGCUAACGCUCCGUCUCGCACCGCUUGGUUUCAGCUGCUCUCCGAUGGCUGACCUCAACGACGCCCCCCGGUUCGCGCUCUGCGUGGCGCUCGGCAUCUCCCUCAUCAUCAAGCCGCUGCUCGAGUCCCUCGACGGGGCCGACCCGCCGCCCAGCCCCGCCAUCCACGCCGCCGUCGCCGUCGUCCUCGCGCUCCUCCCGUUCGCCUACCUCGCGAGCAUCGUGCUGCUCCAGCUCCGGCUCGCCCCGCCGGCGCCGCCCUUCCCACCCCCGCCGGCCCCGGCGCACGCCAGGCGGUUCGCCUGCCUCGCAUGCACCAUGGUGUCCGCGCUGCUCGGCGUGCUCGCCGUGCCCCUCGUCGCGUUCUGGCUCCUCGCCGGCGCCGCGCAGCCGCGAGGGUGGUCCGCGAGGUAGGAACGAACUCGAUUCUUGACCAUGAAUCGGAACGCAAGAACUAGUAGCAUCCUGACGCCAGAAUCCUCGACAAGCUCAGUGUGCGCCCCUGCAAGACAGGGCACGGCCCUAUGUUUCCCCGGCGCCCGGCGGCGAGGCCGACGUGCUGGCCGAGACCGGCACACAUGGACGCUUCGAUCCGGUCAAGCGAAGGGAGGUGGGGACGCGGUCGUGAAGUCCUGCUUGGUCAGAUGAAGAAAUGGGGAGCACCUACUAAUUGGAGCCUUGUUCUGAGGUUUAUUUAUGGCCAAGUACCUUGUUUGGAUCCGGAUUUCUGGGCAAAACUGCAGCUGUACUACGUAUGGAGACACAUAUUGGGAGACGAGCUUUCCUGAAACAUGAGCGGCGCGCACCCUUGCCACCAUAAAUAAACGGAGCAAUAAGCGAAGCAGACAAGAUGCGUUGGCAUGUCUGGGCUGACUUUUCAAAGAUGAUGGCAUGAUGCAGUAUCGAAGAGAAGAGAAGAGAAGAGAAGAGAAGAGCUACAAGCGAAGCAGCCCAUUGGCUCAAGCCCCGUUCGUCUCAGAAGAUGCUUUGGCAUGACUGGGCGGAUGUCACAAUCUCACGUCCUAAUUUCCCUCAAAAAAAAAUCUCAUAGUCCUAAAACCUCCAAGGCGGAUCUAAGAGAAAGCCUUAAUGAGCAAGAAACCCUUAAUGAGCGACGGCUUUGGUUGUGUAUUUGGAGAACUGUUUAUCCUUGUGGUUGGUUCCAACUUUGAACCAACACCCAACCUUGUGCCUUUUCAUCUGCUAUCCA